rnacentral:rRNA from 1 species
GGCGGACGGGUGAGUAACGCGUAAAGAACUUGCCCUUCAGACUGGGAUAACAGAGGGAAACUUCUGAUAAUACUGGAUAAGUUAGUAUAUCGCAUGAUAUACAAAUGAAAGCUACGGCACUAAAGGAGAGCUUUGCGUCCUAUUAGCUAGUUGGUAAGGUAAGAGCUUACCAAGGCGAUGAUAGGUAGCCGGCCUGAGAGGGUGGACGGCCACAAGGGGACUGAGAUACGGCCCUUACUCCUACGGGAGGCAGCAGGG